AACAGUUUCCGCUUGGCCUCUCUCCAAGAACUACGGCCUGAAAAGCCGACGUUGUAAGUUUCAACUACAGAAGCUA
rnacentral:tRNA from 1 species